rnacentral:rRNA from 1 species
AUUGAACGCUGGCGGCAGGCUUAACACAUGCAAGUCGAGCGGGGUGAUGGUGCUUGCACUAUCACUUAGCGGCGGACGGGUGAGUAAUGCUUAGGAAUCUGCCUAUUAGUGGGGGACGACAUCUCGAAAGGGAUGCUAAUACCGCAUACGUCCUACGGGAGAAAGCAGGGGAUCACUUGUGACCUUGCGCUAAUAGAUGAGCCUAAGUCGGAUUAGCUAGUUGGUGGGGUAAAGGCCUACCAAGGCGGCGAUCUGUAGCGGGUCUGAGAGGCCGAUCCGCCACACUGGGACUGAGACACGGCCCAGACUCCUACGGGAGGCAGCAGUGGGGAAUAUUGGACAAUGGGGGGAACCCUGAUCCAGCCAUGCCGCGUGUGUGAAGAAGGCCUUAUGGUUGUAAAGCACUUUAAGCGAGGAGGAGGCUCUUUUGGUUAAUACCCAAGAUGAGUGGACGUUACUCGCAGAAUAAGCACCGGCUAACUCUGUGCCAGCAGCCGCCGUAA